rnacentral:rRNA from 1 species
GACGGAGGGUGCGAGCGUUAUUCGGAAUUACUGGGCGUAAAGCGCGUGUAGGCGGGGAUGCAAGUCUGAUGUGAAAGCCCCGGGCUUAACCUGGGAAGUGCAUUGGAAACUGCAUUUCUUGAGUACUGGAGAGGAAGGGGGAAUUCCCGGUGUAGAGGUGAAAUUCGUAGAGAUCGGGAGGAAUACCAGUGGCGUAGGCGCCCUUCUGGACGGUUACUGACGCUGAGACGCGAAAGCGUGGGGAGCAAACAGG